UAGAGUUUGAUCCUGGCUCAGAUUGAACGCUGGCGGCAUGCUUUACACAUGCAAGUCGAACGGCAGCGCGGGCUUCGGCCUGGCGGCGAGUGGCGAACGGGUGAGUAAUAUAUCGGAACGUACCCAAGNNNGGGGGAUAACGUAGCGAAAGUUACGCUAAUACCGCAUACGAUCCAAGGAUGAAAGCAGGGGACCGCAAGGCCUUGUGCUCCUGGAGCGGCCGAUAUCUGAUUAGCUAGUUGGUGAGGUAAAGGCUCACCAAGGCAACGAUCAGUAGCUGGUCUGAGAGGACGACCAGCCACACUGGAACUGAGACACGGUCCAGACUCCUACGGGAGGCAGCAGUGGGGAAUUUUGGACAAUGGGGGCAACCCUGAUCCAGCAAUGCCGCGUGAGUGAAGAAGGCCUUCGGGUUGUAAAGCUCUUUUGUCAGGGAAGAAAAGGGAGUGGCUAAUAUCCAUUCCUGCUGACGGUACCUGAAGAAUAAGCACCGGCUAACUACGUGCCAGCAGCCGCGGUAAUACGUAGGGUGCAAGCGUUAAUCGGAAUUACUGGGCGUAAAGCGUGCGCAGGCGGUUCCGUAAGUCUGUCGUGAAAUCCCCGGGCUUAACCUGGGAAUGGCGAUGGAGACUGCGAGGCUAGAGUUUGGCAGAGGGGGGUAGAAUUCCACGUGUAGCAGUGAAAUGCGUAGAGAUGUGGAGGAACACCGAUGGCGAAGGCAGCCCCCUGGGUCAAAACUGA
rnacentral:rRNA from 1 species